GAAGCCAAUUAGACCUUUAAUUUCUACACUGAUUAGCUUGCUACCUGCAAAACUAAAACUUGAGUAAGUACAUAAUUAUCUUUAUAGUUGCCAAGGGAAUAAUGGAGAAUAUUUUAAGCCUCUCCAAGAGUUAACCUCUGUAUCCUACAAUUGGUUUUCUCCUUUAGGUUAUUGGUUCAAAUUCAAUUCAGGUUGAUAGUGAGUCACAGUUGUUGAUGGCCUAGAUGAAAUGACUUGGUUUGCUCAGUACAGUUCUAGUGGACAGAUGCUGAUAACACAAAAGCCAGCAUAAUAAAUGGCACUAACUGGUACCCGUCUUGGCAGUCUAAAGAGAGGAAAUUGCAUGAGAAUGGAGAAUGAACCAACUGCCCCUGCAGGUUUGUUCCUCCAGGUCAGAUUUAAGGCAUAGUUGGUGGUGGGUAGAAGCUUGCUCUCCAGCUGGUCAAGAUAUGCCUAUUCCUUGUGGAUUUCAUUCCCCAGGGCUAUAAAAUCUAAAAAUACCGUACUGGAAAAAAACAUGAAAAUCUCCCAUGACAUCAACUAACGAUCUUUGGGGUUUUUCAAGUAGCCAAGUAAAUUGUUGAGCUGCCUCUAAGGUUGAUGAGAUAUAACCUCAUUUAUAUAACCAAUAAAUUAUACAGUGGUUGACAGUCUGAGCCUAUGAAAAAGUGUUUUGCUUUAACUACUUAAGAAUAGCUACCAGAUCUUGGCUAUGGUGUAGAAUCCUGAACAGCCUUUGGCAGGUCUGGUGCGGGUGCCCCUGUGUGCUACGUGGUGCCAAAUUCUUACAAUCUUUGGGGAUGAAGGAAUUCACCCAGGAAACACUCCAUGGCACAGAUCAAUUCCAACACCUUUAUUAGCAUGGACUGAAGUCCAUUGUAAUUGAAGAAAACAGUCAAUGGGAGUAUGAUAGAAAUCCAAUAUGCCUAAAAGGAACUCUUCUUCAUCAGUCACAAGCCAUCUUGAUGCCCCUCCAGCUGGCUCCUAGAUUAAGGUAUCUCCUUCUCUUUCUGCAGCAGCUAAUUCUUGUGUGUGGUACACCUCAUAGGGCCACACACUCAGACUGCUUCUUGGGCCUGUCCCCCCGGUCCUGAGCUCAGGCUCUGUUUGGUUUUGCUGUCCCUGCAGCAGGAGCAUGUGCUUUCUCCAGCAGCACAUGCAGUCCUUUCUCCAGUUGUGUCCCCCUUCUCCAAUUGCAGGACAGCCGAAAGAAGCGGUGGGAUUUUUUGCCAGGUCUGCAGAUAACAAGGGCUCUACAGUGGUUGGAGAGGCCAACUUCUGUAUGAAGCUCACCUGAGGUCCAGGGAGAUGGUCAGCCUUCACUGCAUUGCUGCUGAUCUGUUGAAGGGGGCGGUGUAUGUAGCAGAAGGGAGGAAGAUUUAAUCAGCUUUUUGGAAGACCUCAAGAGAAGUGCCUCAGUUGGAAAUUUUGAAAUACUGCAUCUGCUGUAGUGACAGACCCUUCCUUGGAACAGACCUGAGAAUCAGUCAUGUCUUUGUCUAGGAGUUCUGCGCCUCUUCUGGAGGAGUCCCCUGAUGUGAGAGGGGAAUGGCUGAAUGCUUCUUUCCUCUGUCCUGGCAUGGUCAAAAUCACCAGGCUGCUUAAAUCUACCCAGCAACUCCUUGCUGGCACCUCUGCCCCCAUAUAGGCAGAGCAGAGCAGUCAAGACAGCAACAGGUCAAAUCCAAGCAGUGCUCCAUUUGUGAGGCAGCCUUCCUGGGUUCAGCAGACAGUGUGUUGUGCCCAGCUUUCACCCAUCCAGCCAAACCUAACUGUUACGUCUCAGGGCUAUGUGGGGUCCCCUCCCCACCAAAGCAGCUGUGAUUCCACAUGGGGAAAAAUGGAUUAGGAAGCCCAAAGCAGAGUAGGGACAGGCCCUAAUGACAAGAAAGGCUCUAGCCAGCCAGCUCGGGUAGGUCCCAAGGUACCCCCGGGAGACCAAACUAGGGAGACUUGUGGGACCACAAAUCCUUCCAUCCCCAUGUUAAAGUCAGUCCUAAGUGCACUGGGAAAAGAAUCAUAGUUUACAGGUUCCCUCCUUAUUGGAAAAAAACUAGACAAGAUGGUGGCUGACAAAGCAGCAAAAUCUAAGCACUCCCUCCCAUCAUCACUAAGUGCUCUGAGGAGGGAAUACAGACCUGCCUUCAGACAGAGGUGCUCCUUUCAGCCCUUGUCCUCACAGAGGUACCAGCAAAGGGACAAUAGAUUCUCCAAAGGAGGUGAGGUUUAGGCAGAAAUCCCCUGGGGAGCUGUCUUCCCCCUCCCCACUGCAAUCCACUUUAUGGCAAAGACCACAGAAGCUUCCACCCAGAACUAAAGCCAGGAGGCAGAAUUUCCCAUUUCCUGGAGGAAUGGUUUGCAUCAAUCAUGAACAAGUGAGGAAAGGGAGAUAGUGAGCCAGGGAUAAUUCCCUGAGCUGCAGUGAGACACUAUACCUCAAAAUAGCACCCUGGAACCCCCACAUUCACAGUGUGAUAUGAUUAUAUGUUUUGUACAAUGCAUGCACCCCAAUAUUCAUUAUUGUCAUGCAAUUAGGGAUAUAUUUUGUACAAAGUAUGCAUUGUGAGGUAUCAUUCUAAAAGUCUUGUUCUACUGGACAUUAAGAUCUCAUUGAAUUGUAUGUGCUAUUGUCGUAUGUGAAGUUAUGAAGUUUGGCUAUGUACGUAUUACAGAAACAUGUGAGGUUGAAAACACCCAC